rnacentral:lncRNA from 1 species
GAUGACUUGGCUCCUUGCAGCCGCUUCCUGCUUCUUAAGCUCUACAAAAACAAAGAACUCAGGCCACAGCCAACUAUAGUUGGACGUACCCAGAGUAGUUGAAACACUUACCUUGAUACUUCUUGUUCAAAGACUUGUAGAGGCUCUCCAGUUUUUCCUGCAGAACCGUGUGAUCCGCGCGUUCCACGGCAAAGGACUUCGCCCCAACUUCAUGAACCCGAAGAGCUUCUGUCAGUUGGGCACAUUCCUGCUCCAACUGAUGGCUUCUUUCCUGAAAACAUCCAAGUACGGUAUGGUGAGUUUCAAGCCUCACAGCUACUCGGGUCAUGCAAUGAAAUCAACAAAGAAAUCUACAUGGAAGCCCUGGAAAACAUCGAUGGCCCUCUG